AUCCUCUCUCCAGCGAAUGGGGAUUAGGUGGAAAGUGUCAGCAGCCCAGGGACUCUUUUAUGCAUAAUUGGGAAACUCCAUUUAGGAACCAUUAACUUUGAGGUUCUGGUCAACUGAUUUCUUGGGCCCUGGCAAUUGCACUCAGCCUGAUCUACAAAAGAAAGGGUCUUUGAGCUGUUCUUCGUGUCUCUUCUGCACAGGGGCUGCAGUCUGCUAUCAGUUGUGAUGAAAUGCUUGUGCCACACUAUUCUAGAGAACCUGCAAAAAAAAGUUCCAGGUUGAUUCUCUGGUUGCUAGAUCUGUUUUUACCUAAACUGAGAAACAAAACAUUUGGUAGAUACUCAACUGUGUUAAUGUGAAGUCUAUUGCUUUGUCAUAUGAAGUCAAACUCUCACCGUAAGCAUCUUAGCUAAGGUUGGAUAUUUGUUUGCUGGUAGAAACAGCCGUGCAAUCCAGCACCUUAUUUUAUUUUUGUCCAGAGAUGUUGAGAAAAUAAAGCUUUUUUGUUGUUGU